GGCGGCGUGGAAGGAAGGCCAGCAAGAUUAAAAUAAGAUUAAGUCACUAGAAAAUCCUUUGAGAUGUACUACUACUGCGAAACCAAAAAUCGGAGCUGAAAAUUAAGAUCAAACCAAUAAGCACUCUCCCAUGUCAGUCAUAAGGCUUCACAAGUGAAAUAUGAGCCUUCAAGCAACUGCCUGCAUGCUUCGUAUCCAAAAUGCAGAAGCAUUUAUCCCCUGUUGCAUAAGUACUCACUUCGUACUUGGAUUAAUCAGUGGCAUAAUCUUGCCCCAAUUGUUUUGCACAUUGAAAUGGUACACGUAGUUGCUCAAUUAGAGGUAAUCCGAGAGGCAAAUGUGGAUUUUACUCAUACACAAACACGCUGAUCGCGCAGCGAACCACCAAAUUCCCCAGCGGGCGGAACCUGAAGCAACACCACCACCGCAAAAUCAACCACUACCCGUACCGGCAACACCUUGGAAGCCAUGAACCUAGGGUUUGGAGUUGGGGAUUUACCUCAUAGAGGCUCUUGCUCUCUACGGCGGCCGGCGCGGGCUCCUGCUCCUCCUCACCACUGCCGUCGCCGUCGCGGGAAACCCUAGCCUUCCUCUUGCGGCCCAUCUGGUGGAAGCGGUAGUGGAGGCGGCAUGCGGUGGUGGAUUUGGCGGAGAAGUGGCGGCGCACGGUGGUGGAUUUGGCGGAGAAGUGGCGGUGCGCCGCGGCGGAGAAGGAGGAGAAGGAGGCCGCGCGCCGCGGCGAUGGAUUUGGCGGAGAAGUGGCGACGCGCGGUGGAAAGCGGACGAAGUGGCACAGCGCCUAGGGUUUUUUUUUUGCGUGGAUUUUCUUUUCGGCGUGAUAUUUUUUGGCGUGGAUUUCUUUUUUUCAGCCGAGCAAUCACCUCGCUGACUCGCUCUAUCCGAACCGUGGGAUCAAGAUCAGACGGAAGAAACAUUGCUGACAGAUGGAAUAUCGUUAAGUUUUCCUGACAUAUAAUUGGUUUCCACUCUAAAUAUUGCUGACAGUUAUUUUGACCCAAUAAAUAUUUGGAAUUGCUGACAUAUAACAUGUCUUAUUACAUAGUAUUGCCGACAUAUAAUUUGCCAAAAGCCUUUACCAAUAAAUAGUCUAUCAAUAAUUGUUUAUUUUUACCGACAGAUGUCUGUUGGUAAUCUAGUGUCAUGGUGUAGUGAGGUAGCUGCUGGGCGUUCGUGACAGCGGCGACCAUCGAGAGCCUGAACAUGAUCAAGACGAGGAGGCUGGUCUCUCUAUCGGAGCAGCAGCUGGUGGACUGCGACAGCUAUGACGGUGGCUGCAACUUAGGGUCGUACGGGCGGGCGUACAAAUGGGUUGUCGAGAACGGUGGCCUCACCACGGAGGCGGACUACCCGUACACGGCGCGGCGGGGCCCCCGCAACCGCGCCAAGUCCGCGCACCAUGCCGCCAAGAUCACCGGCUUCGGGAAGGUGACGCCGCGGAACGAGGCGGCGUUGCAGGCUGCCGUCGCUCGACAGCCCGUGGCUGUGGCCAUCGAGGUCGGUAGCGGGAUGCAGUUCUACAAGGGUGGCGUUUACACGGGCCCGUGCGGCACGUGCCUGGCGCACGCCGUCACCGUCGUCGGUACGGCACCGACGCGGCUUCCGGUGCCAAGUACUGGACCAUCAUGAACUCAUGGGGCCAGUCAUGGGGCGAGCGCGGCUACAUCCGGAUUCUCCGCGACGUCGGUGGCCCCGGCCUGUGUGGCGUCACACUCGAUGUCGCCUACCCGACCCUGACCUGUGAACGAACGGCAUGAAAAGACGCACAGAUAUGACUAUAUCACUGUACACACAACUACCCUACUAUACAGUGAGUGUCUGCCGAGGAGACGUAUCCACUAUACAUGUAUGAAUUGUGGACAGUAAUUAAAAUGCAUGCUGCGCGCGUACAACUAUGUGAAUUGUGCAUAUUCGUUGACUCAAAACUUGGGCGACCUCCCUAAUGGACUUAUUUGGACUUUCAUUGGAUACCAUCCUGGGCUUCUGUCCUAACUAGGCUAGGCAAAACAACAAAAACCAAUUUAUAAUCUCUUGGUUGUUGCACAUCCCAAUUUACUCCUAAGUUGGCAGAUGCUACCGUACGUUUCGUACGUUCUGCUCUUUAGAAGGUUGACUGUUGUAUUAUCACCUUGAAAAUUUCGACUCUAAAAUACAUGGAAAAAAUUAGAAUAAUCCAAAAUAUUUUUCAAAAUUCCCUCAUAUUGUUGUUUGUCGGAUUCUUUUUCAUUUCUUCUUGUGCCUAUGCCAAAAUAAAAAUUUAAUAAGGAAAUUAACCUAUGUUCUGAAUUCAACUAUGAAUUUAGAAUAAUAUUUAUUAAAGAACCAUGUUUAUAAAAUAGUAGCAGUUAAGAAAAUAUUCUGGAAAUCCUUUUUAGGAUUAAUUCCUUAAGUUUUGAUUUUACAAAUAAAAUAAAGUAAAAUUUCACAAAACUAUAGGUAUUUUACACAAUUUAUCAUAAAACUACAGAUUUAAAAGCUUGUUUCACAAAACUACAGAUCUAAUAUGUCCGUUUAUCACAAAAUUAUAGGUACUUUAUACAAUCUAUUACAAAACUACAGGUUUUAACAAUGCUAAAACCUAUAGUUUUGUGAUAAUGAAGACACUAAACCUGUAGUUUUGUGAUAAUGAAGAUAUUAAAUCUGUAGUUUUGUGAAACAAGUUCUUAAAUUUAUAGUUUUGUGAUAUAUUAUACAAAAUACCUGUAGUUUUGUGAUAAACGAUUAUAUUGAAUCUGUAGUUUUGUGAAAUAAGUUCUUAAAUAUGUAGUUUUGUGAUAGAUCGUGCAAAGUACAUGUAGUUUUAUGAAAUUUACUCAAUAAAAUAAGCUAAUAAAUAUUUUCUAUUGACCUCUUCUAUUUUAGGGCUUAAUUUGCCAAUUUAAAUCAAACUCUGAUUUGUGCCAUGAAUGGUCUAGCCCAGCCAGCCUAAUAAACCAUUUUGUUAGAGCAGUAUAGCCUACUACUAGCUUCAAUUUAUCUAUAGCCAAUCCAAUAGUCAAUUCAUACAAUAGUUGCUUACUAUACUAUUAAUAUAUGGUCCCACAUGUCAUACACACACUCGCUGCUCUUCUCUCUCAUUUUUUAUCUCAUUAAAAUAUCUUUGUAGCUGGCUAAUAGCUAGUCUGUUAUUGUACCUACUCUUAGUUGAGUGUUUGGGUUUUCGUGCCACAGAUCUCGAUUAAAUCAAAUCUUGUGAACUCAAAAUCCUACCCUAACACUCUUCUCCGAAAUUAAGGCUAAUAAAUUUUGCAGUUCAGUCCUCCGCGUAAGCUAAACCUUUCCCGAAACCAAACUUACACAUUUCUUUACCCUCUCCAUUCCCCAUCUAUUCCAUUAAUCGCAAUUUUGUUUAAGUUAAACAAAGUCCCAAAACUCACCCUAAUUGGUACAAUAUUAUGUUCUACACAUGAAUCUUUUGAAUGCCAAAGUUGAAUCUAGAAUCCAAUUUCGCUUAUUCGAAUUCAUUCCCUCGGAUCCAUUUUCUCCUGUACCAACUUUAUUCGAAAUUCCCUAAACUAGGUCAUUUCCGCAAAGUCCUAAUAAUUCCGAUGGAUUCAUAUAUCAGAUGCCAAUCCUAAAUCUCCGUUCAAAUAUAGUAUAUCAAUGCAACCAAUAUCUGGGAACUCUAAAAUUAAUCACGAGUACACAUCCUUCUAUCUGUGACGGCCUUUAGCAUGCCUAGAAAUAAUGGGCAGUAACAAGGAAGUCAUCUCAAUCGGGCCUGAUUGAGAUAUGGUCGCACAGACAUAUUAGAUGGGCGUAAAACUUAAGCCCGUCACGGAUGACACCUAUCAGUGACGGGCUGUAGUUUAGGCCUGAUUGAGAUAACAUUCCAUAUCUCAAACGGGCCUGAAGUUGCGGCCCGUCACAGAUGACCAUCAGCUGUGACGGGCAACAACUUUAGGCCUGAUUAAGAUAACAUUCCAUAUCUCAAACGGGCCUCAAGUUGGGACCCGUCACGAUGACCAUCAUCCGUGACGUGCACCAACUUGAGGCCCGUUUGAGAUAACAGCUAGGCCCAUCACAGAUGACUCAUCAGUGACGGGCUAUAUACUAAUGCCCGAUCGAGAUGACUCAAUCUCUAUCGGGCAUUAACUAAAGCCGUCACUAAUGAGUAUUUUUCCAUUUUUCAUAUGAAAUGUUUAUAUUUGUAAGUUGAACUAUAGCAAAAUAAUUAACUGCAGUAUAAUAAUUCAUUUUAUGAGUCAAAAUAAUUUUACGGGUAGUAAAUGAUUUCAAAUGGAAAAAUUGUCACCAACAAAGUUGUAUAACUUAUCAAGAUUUACAACUUUUAGUUUGGUCAUUUUUUCUGUAUAAUAUUUUUUGAACAAUUUGAAUUUGAAUUUGAAAAUAUAACAACUUCAAACAACAUUUUCAAAUACUAAAUGAUUUCAAUUGAAAAGGCCAUCAACAACAAAAUUAUAUAACUCGUCAAGAUCUAAAACUUUUAUUUUUGUUAUUUCUUCAUCCGACAAAAUGUUAGUAACGUUGUUCACAAAUUUUACAUAUAUGUGUUAUAGUUUAUAAAACCAGAUAAGAUAUGUCAAUUUUGUAAACAAUGUUACUAUCACUUUGUCGGAUGAAGAAAUGACCAAUGAGUUAUUCAACUUUGUUGUUGAUAACUUUUUUAGUUGAAAUCAUUUAGUAUUUGAAAAUGUUGUUUGAAGUUAUUAUAUUUUCAAAUUCAAAUUCAAACGAUUCAAAAAAUGUUAUAUAGAAAAAUGGUCAAACUAAAAGUUGUAGAUCUUGAUGAGUUAUACAACUUUGUUGUUGAUGACUUUUUCAGUUGAAGUCAUUCACUAAUCUAAAAUUCUAUUUGAAUUUCUCAAACUUUGAAUUUCAAAUUUCAAAUUGUUUAAAUAGAGUCAAAUGGAGAAAUGACCAAAAUAAAAAUUUUGCACCUCGAUGAGUUCUACAUCCUUGGUUUUGGUGACUUUUCCAUUUGAAAUCAUUUAUUAAUCCCAAUUUUUGUUCGAAGUUGUCAAAUUUUGAAAAUUCAAAAUUUGAAUUGUUCAAAUGAACUUAAUUGUACAAAGGACCGAUACAAUAGUUGUAGAUCUCAAUGAGUUAUACAAUUUUGUUGUUUAUGAUUUUUGCAUUUGACACACAAAAGUCAGCCUAAAAUUAAAUUUAAAGUUCUCAUAUAUGACGGGCUUUAUUUUUGACAGAUCUCAAUGAGUUCUACAACUUUAUUUUUGACAGCUUUUUCAUAUGAGUUUAUUUAGUAUUAUAAAAUUCAAUUCGAAAUUCUUUUUUCCUAGAAGUCUGAUUGCCUCCUCAUCAUGAUCCAAUUAACUCGGUUUUGCUAGAGAAAUAUGAGAAAUAUGUGAAUGGAUAUGAAAUAUGUGAUCAAAAUGGAUAUGUGAAUGUGGUUGUGUUAAAUAUAUUGAUGGUUGUGUAUGUGAAUGAAUGCAUAUGAAUGGGAAAUGUUAGGGUGUGACAUCUUGGCCUAGGGCUUAAAAGGAUUAAUAGAAUACUCAUACCAAACUUUGAUGUUAAGCGUGCUUGGCCUAGAGCAAUUUCGGGAUGGGUGACCGACCGAGAAGUUCUUCCCUGGUGCACACGAGUGAGGACAAAAAAGACCCGCCUGGGAUGGCAUGGCAUGGCUAGCAAAGGCCGAUAAGGGUCAUCUGUGACGGGCGCUGGUUGUGGCUCGAUUGAGAUAGGUCAUCCGUGACAGGCUAUAGUUUGACUGGUCGUCUGAGUCAAAGCUAUCGGUGACGGACUUUAAUUAAGGCCCGAUUGAGAUAGCUUUAUCCGUGACGGCCGUUUGCCCAAUAGAGAUAACUUUUCACAUCCGUGACUUCUAGGCUGUGACGGACGCCAUGCUCGAUUGAGAUGAGGGUUGCCGCCCGAUUGAGAUGGUGGUUACCAUUCUAGUGAAUCCUUGAGCAACAGAGUAACCAAAUUGAAAUUGAUUGUCCAAUUAAAUAGUGUAGCUACAAUUCCCCAUAAAUCUAAUGAAAUACACAAAAGUUACUAUUACAAUCGGGCCAUUUCUCUCUCCAAGCCCAACAUUCCCACUAGGCUGGCCGGAUCCCUUUCUCCAUUAAUGGGCCUGCCCCGCCCGUUCCUUAGCUUCCACAGCCGGCCCAGCCCUCUCCAGUUCCAAGGCCGAAGAUGUAGCGCCGGCCCAGCCGCGCCACAUGUGGGCCCACAGCCUGCCAAACCUUCCCCUUGUUGGCGCGCUUGCCCGCCACCUGCUCGACGAAAUGCCGAGCCGAGCAAGUGUACUGAGCCGCCUCGCCACCGUGCAAUGGCAUCAGCGCAUGUGCCGCAUCUUCCUCCGCACAGCUCUGCGCCGGUAGCUUGUGUCACCACCCACGUGAGUACCACCGGUUCCGCUUUCCCUCUCUAGACUCGUGUCAGCCAAUGAUGCCGACCUGGCCUCCUCCAUGUGCCACCUUACACGGCCCCACGCUAACGCUGUCCAGGCUGCAGGCGCAUGACACCUCGCCUCGCCUGCCUUUUUCCCCAACAUCUGUGCCGCGCUUGCGCCGCUGAACCCAAUCAACCACCUCACCUCCUCGAGCGUCCACGCCGAAAGUGUGAGCCGAGCUCAUGCCGAAUGCAUCGCCAUUGUCCUGGGCUCUAUGACACCCCGUCUCCUUUCUUCUCUUCGAAGCUGCUCCGGUUUCAUCGUCAUCCGCUGGCAGCAGCUAUGAAAGCCGCCAUGCCCCGUCGUCCUCCACCUUUGACCCUUCCAAUAGCAGCCGCCACCUUCACCCUCCACACGAUCCCACAACAUCAUUAGGUUGGCAAACUCCUCGGCUUCGACUUCUCGGUGGAGUACAAGGCCGGCGCGAAAAACACUGUUGCCGAUCUCUUAUCUCAGCGCAACACCGACGAGGUCACACUCCUCACCAUCUCAGGGCCUCUGCCAAGCAUACGACACAGACUCGGCACUGAUGGUGCUCAGGGACGACCUCAUGGCCUGGUGACGCUCGACGGCCAUCUCUACAUCCCGCCCACCUCACCACUUCUCCAAGAACUGCUCACCGCCAUGCACGACGACGGCCACGAGGGCAUACAACGGACUCUACACCGACUCCGACGUGAUUUCCACUUGCCGAACCUUCGCAAGGAUGGACCACAUCCGUGCGUGCACCACCUAUCAGCGCUACAAGUCAGAACACCUGCACCCCGCUGGCCUUCUCCUACCGCUCCCUGUAUCGAUGCCUAUAUGGUCUGACAUUGGGCUUGACUUAGUCGAGGCGCUACCCCGAGUUGGCGGCAAGUCAGUCAUCCUCACGGUGGUGGAUCGUUUCCGCAAGUAGUGCCACUUUAUACUGUUGGCCCACCCGUAGUCGGCGGAGUCCAUGGCCCAAGCAUUCUCUGCCAAGAUCGUUCGACUCCACAGCGUGCCGCAGUCCAUGGUAUCGGAAAGGGACCCGGUGUUCACGUCUCUGUUCUGGAGGGAGCUCAUGUGCCUCACCAGCGCCAAGUUGCACAUGACGUCCGCCUUCCAUCUUCAGUCUAAUGGGCAGCCAACAAGAUCAUCAUUCCAACAAGAUCAUCAUGUACCUCCGAUGCCUCACCGGUGAUCAUCCCCGCCAGUGGCUGCGAUGGCUUUCGUGGGCUGAGUACAUCUACAACAUGGCCUUCCAGUCCGCCCUCAAGGAUACACCGUUUUGGCCACGACCCCCCUUCCAUCAGCUCAUACAAGCCGAGUGAGACACAGGUGGCAGCCAUCGCCAAGAGCAUCGCGGACAGGGACGAGUUCCUCGCCGACAUUCGCUACCGUCUCGAGCAAGCCCAAGCCGUCUACAAGCACCACUAUGACAAGGACCACCGCGACGUCCGCCACGUUGUGGGCAAUUGGAUGUGGCUCCGUCUUUGACAUCGCGCCCCUGCCUCACUCAACGUUCCAGCUAAAGGGAAUUUCAAGCCUCGUUUCUACGACCCGUACUGCAUCACCGAGGUCAUCAACGAUGUCACCUACCGCCUCGACCUACCACUAUUUGCUCGCCUACACGACGUCUUUCAUGUGGGACUCCUCAAGAAGUUUGUCAGCACACCACCAGCUACUCCUCUGGCAUUGCCACAAACGCAUCAUGGGGCUGUGGUACCCGAAUUAGACCGCGACGUCCGCUCUCGCCUCGCCCGGGGAGUUCGUCAAAUCCUCAUCCACUGGAAGGGUGUACCGGCUACAUCCGCUACUUGGGAAGACAUAGAAGGUUUCCUUGACCGAUAUCCGUCUUUUCAGCUCGAGGACGAGCUGCUGGUCGAGGGGGCAGAUGUCAUGUGGGGACGCCACUACCAGCACAGGAGCAAGCCGGACAUGGUGCAGCCACAUGCACAGGCGCAUGCACAUCAAGCAACACGAAUCAAGGGGUGGAAAAUUGGAAAGAAUUUAGCAAGGAAAAUAUUAAUUAGGAGAGAAUAAAGACCAUUUCUUUGUAUUAGAGGCUAAGUGCCAAUAUAAAUCAUGUAAUCAGCCAUCUUUUGACAACAAGAAAUAUGAACCUAAUUUCCUUAUCUCCCUCCUCCUCUAAUCUCCCUCCUUCACCAUUAGGCGCGCAGGGAAGAGCCCUGACGCCAUUACCGAGCCGAGCUACGAACUCCGUAGCCGCGGUCCUGCUACCAUUGGCGCCAACGCGCUUGACAAGUGCAUUAACCACAAACUGAGGAUUAGACUGGAUUUCCAGCUUAUAUCACUCCCAUAAGACAUACACUCCCAAAAGAAGGGGAAAUGUAACACCACAUAUAUCUGCAUACCUAUAGAGUUCUACACAUAAUACACAAAAAAUUGGUAGUCUCCCUAUAUAUAUGGACAUCCAAAACAGACAACUUAGAAACUAAUAGCAUACUUUCUGUUAGUGAUAUGCCCUAGAGGCAAUCAUAGAGAUGAUUGUAUCACAUACUAUGCUUACAUAUUAAUCCGACAUUGUUCCUCUAAAUAGAUAACUCAUUAUUGGUUAAUGAAUAUGUGAUUCUUUCUUGAGACUCUUUAUGUUGUUUGUUACUAUUUCUAAAGGAUUCCUGAUCAAAUAUCAUAUGUGGAACAAAUAUGAUUAGAUGAUCAACAUAUAUAUUAAUUAAUGAUCAUGUCUCAUGGAUCAUGGUAUAGAGAUACCAAAUUAAUAAUGUGAACACAUGUUAGUGAACAUGUUGUUGGAUAGACCCAACAUGAGACACUGCAAGAGCCAUAUGUGUUGUGUCAUCAGUGAUCUCAUUUAGUGUUGGUAUUGAAUCCUUAGACCUGAGAUUAUCAUGGUUCCCAACAUGUGUAGUAGCUUACUUAGGGACUGCUAAACGCUACUCCGUAAUUGGGUAGUUAUAGAAGUAGUUUUCGGGUAUGCUAUGAAACAUGUAGUGAGAUAUGAAUAAUCAAGAUGGGAUUUGCCCCUCCUAUGGAGAGAUAUCUUUGGGCCCCUCGAUGUUGUAGAUUAUGAAAGUGCAUGGCCAUGCCAAAGGUGAUUGAGGAGUCAAUCACAAGCUAUAUAAUCUAUCAACAGGUUCGAGUGAAUGAUUGAGCUAUUAGAGGAUGGCACAUAUCUAGCCUUAAGCUUAAUCGAUAUCGUGAGGCAAAGGGGUUCAUACAAGUAUACACUAGAGGUUCAGCCGAUAUGAUCUUUAUGUAUGCCCGGUGGAUCAAUACGUUCUGCUAGGGGCCACUGUUGACGCGUGGACCGAAAAGGAGUUUUCGGGUUAUAACCGAGUGUACAUGAACCUACAGGGUCGCAUGCUUAAUGGGCCGGAAUAAGGGGUUUGGAUGGAGAUCCAAUAUGAGCUUAAUUCGGAUAGGGAUCCGAAUAGGAGUCCUACAGGCCUUGGAAGCCCGAGUGAUGGAUCCUAUAUAUGCGUGAGGGGUGUGACUGGCGGAGGCAUUGCAUCACGUGAAAAACCCUAGCCGUCACUUCCCUCCCCGAGCAAAACCCUAGCCGCGCGCGGGUGCUAGCACAUCUGCGCGUGGCGUUCCAUCCCUGUACGUGUGGAUAUUGGUAGAGGCGCCGCUGGUUUGCGGUGCUGAUUGGCGUGGGAGUACGGCGAGAAGAAAGCACGAGGAGGAGAAGGUCGAGCCGGUGCGAUCGACUACUUUCUCUACAUCGACGCGUGCUACUUCGCGAGAAUCCCUUCGACUUCUUAGCGCCUUCUUCCGCUGCGCAGCGCGUCGAGUGGUAACGAUCUAUGAUCUAAUACUUGCAUGGUUUAUGGUUUACGCGAUAGAAAAUUUUGAUUUAUGCUAUCGUAGCCUACGCGUAUCCCAACACUUUCAUACACUUUAGAACCAGCUAGCUCUACAGAAAUCACACAGAUGACCACAAUUGGUUUAAAAGGCACAAUAAGUCCAAAUUACGACUUAAACUAACGAUAUUAUAAACCUAGAAUAAAGCGUAUAGAUGUGAGUGUUACUUCCACAUAGCUACAACUAGCAAACAUAGAACUUCGGACAGCUACAGAAAUGUACAACUUUUAAGUUAUGUGAAAAAUCAGAUUAUACUCAUGCCCAGAUUAACGAAAACAAAAUUUUGUACCAGUUUCAGACCCGGUCAGCAGUACUGUUCUUGGCAUUUCUCCUAAAACCGCUUAUCAGAAUCAAAUGAAACCAGUACAGUUAGAAAGAUAAUGGCAAGGCCAGCAUCUUUUAUUUAGACCACCUAACCAGAGUCCGGACAAAUGAAUACCAGAUUUAAGAGUACAGUUUCAGCCUAUGUUUAAGAAUUUAAAAUUUGAGCACUCGGGAAUUGAAUCAGUUUCUAUACAAAAACUAUACUUGUAGGGACUAGAACGGAUUUCAAAUCUAUACACUUAUUGCACAACAUUAAAGUUAUACGUCUAAGGUUUAUAAUAUCAUUUGGUUUAGGUAGUGGUUCGAACUUGAUGUGCCGUUUAAAAAAGUUAUGGUUAUUUGUGGUUUCAGUGGGGAACAAAUUCAAAAUAUAUAUUAUUUUUUAUGUUUUUGAAGUUAUAUACAUGUUUGUAAAAGAUUGUGGAAAUAUACACAUACCGCGGGGUGAAAAUACGGGACCGGUUGUUUGGCGUAGCAUGAAAGGAUGGGAGCGCGGUACCAGGUCAAUCCCACGGCUCAGGCACGCGUGACCGUCCAUCACGCAGGAUUGUCCUGGCCAUCGGUCCAUCACCUCCGCACCGCGGUACGAGUAUAUUCCUGCAAUUCUUUCAAAAACACGUAUAUAACUAGAAAAACACAAAACAUAAUGUAUAUUUUUCAAAAAAAAUAAAAAACUGGUUUGAAGUAUAUGGGUGUUAAUGUUAUUAGUUUCUACAAUACACAGGGGAGAGUUCCAAAUUUUAUAAUAAACUAGAAAAGAUGCCUGUGCGUUGCAACAGGUAAAGACUUUUUUCAGUGAUAUAUUAAGAGCUAAGUAAUAAAUUGAAAUAUUGGGAUCACUAUACACUGUAAUUGAAAAAGUUAAUAAAAAUCUUAACAUUGGGAUCGCUAUAGAUAAUAAUUAAAAAAAAGUUAAUGAAAAUAUUUCCUGGGUUUUUGGCUGAAAGCCUUCCUUCCUUUUCAGCUCUAGGCUAGUCCGCUACCUCCCUCCAUUUGGUCUACUUCUCUUCGACCCUACCAUCUUCAACUUCCCGAAUAUAACUACCAUCUUCAACCUCCCGAAGAUAAUCCCGUGCCCGUACGUUUGCCAAAGCAAAUCUCCCCAUCAAAUCCGCCCGAAUCUUUCUUGGGUAACCAAAAUUGUUCGAGGGUUUUUGAUCCACUCGAUCUACUCUUUCCAUUUUCCCCAAAAUCAGAGCGUAAAACUCGGGAUAAAAAUGACCGGGGAAGAUCACCGUCAUUAUCGGCAACUGUAGAACAGAGAUUAAAUCCAGGAAUUAAAACUGAAUCGAAGGGUAAAUCAUUGAGAAAAUGAUGAGAGAGGAGUGGGAAAUCGAUUUUUGCAAUCAAAUUAGAGGAGAAAACACACGAUCGAUAUGGCGGCGGCACGGCGCUAGGAUUCACCUCGGGAGGCAUGCGGCGAAUAGAUGGGAUUAUAAAACCGGAUGAGAUAAACAAAAAGCGCAAGGGAGAAAAAACCGGCUAUAAAAAAGAUUGACGAGAAAAACUAAAAGCACUCGAGAGAUGCGCGGUGAAUAGAUCGGAUUAAAAAAAGGAUAAAAAAAACUAAAAACCUUGGCUUGUGCGCAUGAAAAACUCUUCUGCGUGCAAAAAAAAAAAAAGAAAAAAAUACCGGUGCAAAAAAACCAAACGGAUUUUUUGUUUUUUACUGGGAGAUUUUCUUUUCUUUUUCUAUAGAAGUCGGAUGAGAGAUGUUUUUUUCUUUUUUUUUACUGACGACGACGGAAGUUUUUUUUUUUUUAAUAGCUCGUUAACUGAUGUUUGAAACACAUGCGUCCAAAUGCCGAACGGAAAGGGACGACGUACUAAAAUCCCAUGACAAAAACAAGUUAAACUUUUAUAAUAGUAGAAGAUUUAAGAGUUCGUGUUGUUUGGGGUGUUGUGCGUAGCACUACAAGUAUGUGGAUACCUAGGCCAUUACAUAUAAAUAGUUUUGCAAUAGUUUUAUCAAGGUAUCAAUAGUUUUACCAAAUCUAUCUAUCUAUCUAUUAUAUACUAAAAAUCCAUUAAACUUUCUAUAAACGCUCUCGAGAAAUCCAUUAAACUUUCUAUAAACGCUCUCGAGUCACCAAGUGGUAUCUUAUAAACGCUCUCGAGUCGCCAAGUGGCAUUCUAAUAAAAAAAAUCUGACCAUUGAUUUUCAUUUAAAUUGGUGGACCCAUUAUUUUAGAUCAUUAGAUCUAUUUAUUUUGCAGUGAAAAUCAUAUCCGGAAACUCCCCUUUACAAACAAACGUACGUAAUGUGCGAUGUACGUGCGUACUUCCUUCCUGUUACUUCUUUUAUAUGUUUCUUUCUUCGUCUUUAUGAGAAAUUAAUUAGAACCAAAAUUAUUUUCACAGGCAAAAAUGCCUCACCAAUAGACUUUCACCUACUAGGUCUACUAACUCUCCCUCUGUCACUUUAUACAUCCUACAUCAAACACUUUUAAACCACUACUUGAGCUAUUAAAUUAGAGAAAUACUAUAAAAUCUUAAAAAAAAGAAGUAAUUGAUUAUCGAUUUCUACUUAAAUUGACGGAUAUAUUGCUAUGUGGCAUUAUCUAAUCUCAAUGUCGAUUUUACUUAAAUUAGUGGACACAUUAUUUUACACCAUUGGAUUAGAUAAAGCAAAACAUCUAUCCCUCGACUUUCAAUUAAAUCGGUGGUCCAACAUUAUCAACCGUUAGAUUAGAUUGAUUAGGCGCACCUCCAUCGUGAAAAGGGUCGGAAACGGUCGGAAUCGGUAGCAUCUCUUCGGAAACGAUGCUCGAUCGGCCGGUAACUGACCAUAUUUAUCAUUUAAACUACUCAGUGUCGACAUUAAUACGAUACAGAAAUAAAUUAGAAAAAACAAAAUUUAAAAAUAGCCAAAAAGGUAUGAUCGGAAACAGUACCCCUUAUACGGAAACGACGCUCGGUCGAUCAGGAAUUUCUGUUACAGUUUUUACCUCCUCAUGUAAAACCCCACCUCUCGUCCUCCCACGUAUUGGAGUAUGUACGUACUCCAAUACUUUUUAAGUAUUUUAGAUUGUUACUAUUUUUCAAUAGAAAAACCCAAACCUCUCUCCUCUCCCCAACCCUAUGCGACAUUCAAAUCCAUUAAACAUCUUAUAGAUGCUUCUAAACUAUUAUAUGGCAUUCUUAAAGCAAAGAAAAAUCUUUGAAUUUUUGAAAAAAAUAAUCCAACCAUUGGUUUUUAUUUAAAUGUAUGGAAAUAUUAUUUUCAAUCGAUUGACACAUUAUUUUGGGUCAUUAGAUCUUUUUUUAAAAAAAAGAAGCCCAAACCUCCUUGCAUCUCUCUUACUCCGUUGCGGCAUACGGUGUUAAAAGUCCACCUAUAAACACUCUUAAGAUGUUCCGUUGCUCUCAUAGGUCAGAUAAAAUCCUAAAAAUUCUGACAAGAAAACAAAACAUCUGACCAUCGUUUUUGACUUGAACAUCCAAUACAUUAUUUUAGAUGGUUAGAUUGAUCAUUUAGAAAAACAUCCCAAACCUCCCUCUCUCCUUGCCAUUAUUUUCUCUUUGUUUUCUAUCUCCUUAACAAUUAAAAUUAAAAUUAUCUAUAUGGGCAAAAAAAACAAAUGGACCUCCAUCUAUUACUUAUAUCCCGUUAGACAUAUAGUGACUUUCUACCAACUUAAUUAAUUUCUCUUAACAUACAUACGGGGGGCUAUGUACUUAUACAAAUUGACCUUGAUACUUUUAAAAUAAUCUUUUUCGGAGAUAAAGAAAUGUUCUUAAUAAUGAUGUUCAUAGCAUCCAACUUACACAUAUGAUCUAUGAAGUCACUAAUAAAUUAGAGAAAAAGAAUUUUAAGUGACAGAUAUAAUUUUUAAUCAUAAAUGUACUCAUCUAGCAUUAUAGACAACAAGUUGAAAAUAAAGGUGCGGUCGGUUGAAGAUCAUACCAAUAAGCAUGUGGAUUGCACCUAGGAAUCUUAAUAAUGAUACAACCUUGAGGUGGCCUUAGAAAUAUAUCAAGUCAAUUCCAUAUAAGAAUUAAAGACCAUGUCUAUUUUUUUUUAUUUUUCUAGUAAAACAUGCUAACAUUUUAAAUCGUGAGUCCUGGUGUAGAACAAUCUAAAAACAUGUACUCUCUCCGUUUCAAAAUAUAAGGCACAACCACCCUUAACCCAAAUACCAAGAAACUAUUAUUAUCACCUCCUAAUUUGUAUCACCCUAAUAAAUAUAAUGCAUACAUCCAAUAGAUUAGAGAUAUUGAGGGUGGAAGAUUUUAAAAAAUAAUAAUUUAAUGGAUAAGAGGUGCUAAUUAAUUGCAUGCAUGCAUGCACGCCUUAUAUUAAUUAUGGAACAUCUGAAAAAAAUAGUUGUGCCUUAUAUUAUGGAAUGGAGGGAGUAUUAUUUGUUAUAAGACACUUCAGUUUAGUGAUAAUUCAAAAAAAAUACUAUGACCACUACUUCAAUAUUUCAUGAGAUAAAAUUUAUAACAUAUACAUUUACCCCAUGCCAUAAAUGCAUUUAUAUUUUCACCCUAAAUUGCAAAGAUCAAAGCAUUUCAAGGAUGAUUCAUGGAAUGGAACUUUGAAAAAAAUAGGGCAUGAAAUAAAUUGAAAACAAAAAAAAAAUGUCGCUGGAUUUAAAACCCAUUCUAAAUAGAAAAUUUUUUUUUAUGAGGACUGUUAGAUAGAUAGAUAGUGUGUAUAUAUAUAUAUAUAUAUAUAUAUAUAUAUAUAUAUAUAUAUAUAUAUAUAUAUAUAUAUAUAUAUAUAUAACUUAAAAUAAAAUCAAACAAAAAUUGAUAUUAUUGGAUUUCUUUUGGGGUAUCGAGAUAUCCUUCUGGGGAGUCAAAAUACAGUAAAUUUUCUCAUAGGAACCACCUUCAUUGUUUUGACAUAAUGCUUUCUCAUAAUUUCAAAACUGCAUGAUCUCAAGUAAUUUUAUUUUAGAAUUUAUAUGUUGCAAGUGUAAUUGUAAGAAAAUAACUAGCGUUCAAAGCACACUAAAUAAGCUUAAUUUUAGUUUAGAAUAUAGUAAAAAAAUAUUUUAAUAAAAGUCAGCUACACAUAAAUAUUCAUAAUAAAAUUCACACACAUUAUAUAUGGUGCCCGCGCACGGGCACAUGUGCGCGGGCUAUCUUUCUAGUUUUAUAUUAAUAUUAACAUAGUAGGGGGUCUCGCCUAUUGUCUUCCAUUUAAAAUUUUAAUGGUAUAGCCGCAAACUUGGCUUGAAUCACAAGAUAAACUUCCCUAGAAAGCGAAGCAAAACAUAGAAUCGAUUCAUCACAAGAUCAUAUUCUCGUUUGGAAAACCAAAAACAUUUACUGGUAAAAAGUAUCCCUGGCUUCCAGCAAUAUAAAAUUUGAAAAUAUAUUUUGAGACAAAGAAAAUCCUGCAAAAUGGAAAAGGGCGAUACAUAUCAUGUUAGAUCUAAGGCCAUCUUCUAUUUCACUCAAAAGUAAGCUAAACUCUCUUAAUAUCCAUUGUAGGAAGCUAAGCUAAAUAUCACUGUGUCCAUUUGACUAUUUGCUUUUCGAAGCUCUUACUUUACUUCUGCACUAAAUGUGGUAUAAAUAUUACAUUCCACCCAGAGAUCACCAUUGGCCUUUGCAUGCCCAGACAUCAUUUCUUCUGCUUCUAUUUUUAACUAUAUUAGUAAUGGCCACUCAAGUUCCUCCAAGAUUUGCCAUUCACUGGUAAAAAAAAAUCAAUAAGUUUUUGCAGCAAGACUAAGGUCCAUACCAUGAUCCUUUUGCCCACUAGGCUGUAAUAUCAUAAGCUUAAAAGGGCCAAGAAUCUAGGGAGUUCAUAUACUUGAACAGGGCAGUGAAUGUCGUCCAGAAAACAGCAUUAGAAGGCCAUUUCCUGAAGAAUCUUCAGUGUUGUUUGAUGUACCUACAACGGGAAAAUAAGGCAAUCCGCAUGAUUUUCCCCUUUCCAGACAAGUGGACAUAACCAUUGAAAAGAACGAAGCAGGUAUCUCACCCAUUCUAGAUGUUGUGCUGUAAUGCCAGAUGUGUUGUUUGCAUAUAUACCACCUAGAACCUUACCACCCAUUGAAAAUAAUUAAACCACACACUUCAAAGGAGUAAGCAUGUUCAUUUAAGACAGUGAGUUUUAUCCAUAUUAUCACAAUACCUUAGAAACCGUCUCAAGGAACAUUCCUGGACGGACUGGCCGUGGCUUGAGGCCUGUCACACUUCCCUGUGUCCAUGGAAACAAGUGCAGUCAAACAAUCUAUGUAAUGCAAAAUAUAUUGGUAUCUGAAGAUAACAACAAUCCAUGUUUUGAAUCCAAAGCUUACCCUUCCAGAUAUCCCAGUUAGAUGAUUAAGCUUAGAAUCUGGUCCAGCAUUUGCAUUUUCAAUGUUAUCAGCACCUUCUGCCUUGCCCUGCAUAACAUCCUUGAUCAUCCUCUCCAAUGCUUUCCCAGGUUUGAGAGCAACCAGCUUGCUCAAGAAGUUCACCUGUUCAUUCAGCUCAUGAUAUUGAAAAAAAACUUCGAUUCAAUAACUGUGCAUCACUGAUUUAUAGUUAGUACACAGUUUUAAAUAUUAUGGCUUCACAGAUCACUGAAUGGUGUCAUAGUUACAUGAAUAUGCAAUGAAUAUGAAAAUAUAACAAUGUCCUUUCUUAUGUCAGAUGAUUAAGGCCAAAAGGAACUAACCUUUGGUACUUAUAAAUGUUAGUAAAAAAGAUAUUCUAUGUAUAGAACUAGAUGGGUAGAGAUUCUAAGAAUGUAAUUCCCCGUGUCCCAAGCCCCAACAAGUGCAAAUAAUACCUCUGCCUCAGGAAGCGUUGUGAAACCACGGUCAUUUCUUUCAUCUAACAGGCCACCUCCCAUCAUAUUUCGAGCCUCCUCUCUUACGAUAACUAGUCUAGCGAGAAGUUUUCGAUCAGGAAUUGUGGGCCUUGAUUCCAUUGACUGCAAUAAUUAAUAAAAGGUAAGCCAGAAUAAUCUAGUGACAAUUAAUGUUCCAUGGUCCAGCAGAAUUAUUGGCAACUGUUCAUGACCAUGCCCAUGACUAUGCAGAAAAGGCUAAUGUGCACAUCACGGAAAAAGAUUACAGAAGCUGCAGAGCAACAAUGAGGCAAAUGAUAGGAUGAUAUGUACCUAUGAGUAAUGAAAAGCUUUAGAACAUUAGUUCUCUCUUGAAGGGAAAAAAAACUUUCAUUGCAUUGUACCACUGUUUGAGGUAUCCGAGAUACCAUUGCAUUAAUGGAUUAAUGAUGCAACUAAAUCUGCAACAAUUAUAACAAUGUUCAACAAACCAAAGUCAAGCACAACCAUCCAAAUAAAACGGUGAAAUUCCCAAAUGGAACUGAGGUAGAUCCACGAAAAUUAGCGAAAAAAAUACAUAUAUCCUUGUGGCCAAUAUAUUCAAAUGUUCCCUGUGCUCACAUGGCAUUAUAAAACUGUCCGGUUAUCCAUGUUUGCUUACAGACUUGAUCUAUUUCCACUAACAAAAUUGUGCAAUCUUCAAGAGCAGUGACUAAAAUGCAACCACCACAGACAAGUUUUAGCACCACCAAUGCAAUUUUUGUUACUCUGAAAUGAACAAGUCAUGUAGAAUCCCAGAGCAUCAUGUAAGAUCAUUAGUAUACACAAUUGUACUAAUACCCUUCAUCUUACCUCCAAGAGAUCAUCUGCCUGGUUUGCAAUAUCAUUAAGAUUGGCCCCUGGAAUCUGGCACUUAAGGCCUUUAUCAUUUUUAAACACACCUCCACCAGCAGCUACACGACGCAGUAAUUCAUGUCUGCUAUCCUUCUUUUCAGUCUGGCAAAGAAGUCCAACCACUUGAACCUGGUUUAUACAUCAUAAAAUGGGUAGACCGGUCAAAGAGCAUUUAUGACUAAAGAAGUACAAAUACAGGUUUGACAUUCCCACAAAGGUAAGUUUGCUGCACUAGAAAUAAGACUUACAUGUGGAGGGCAUUUUUUUGUGAGAUGAUCCAGCACUGUCUGCUUGACUACCUCAAGGAGAGAUUUACGCUGCCAGUUAAAAAAACUGAUGUGUAAGGCCAAUAGACAAAGCAUGGAAAACAGGUCAAGACUCAAGAGAUAUGAUAUGAGAAUAAUUAUUAAUUAAUCUGGUCAAAUAAGCAUGCAUCCAUAUAUGGGUUAUUUGAGUCAUUAUCUUGUUGCCAUAAUGCAUAUUUCAAGGAUGUUUACCAGAAUUUAAUGUCUUAAAUAAUGAGCAAUUCAAUCAGCAUAUACAGAUUGUUUAGGGCCCUAAACCCACUUACAACGAGUGGACACAGAUAAGCACUUCACAGUUAUUAUGUUGCUAUAAUGCACUCUCAAGGGAAUAUUCACGAAGAUUUUGCUUACACUUCUACCAACCAAUUUUAACACGAGGAAAUAGAUACCAGUAUGGGCUAGAGCAUUAUGAUCAAAUACCAAUUAUAACUAGACAGACGUCUAGGUAUAUUAGAUUAUAUAAACAUUUAUAUCGCAAUCAACAAAGCUAGGAGAGCAGUUAACAUAUUCAUCCUUUGAAAAUUAUGAAUGAGUUGACAUCAAUUUUGGCAAAAUGUGAAAUUAGUUUUUCCAGUACCUCAUUGUCACUAUCCUUCUCAGCAAGCUGUAUCAUGUAAUCAAGUGCCAUUAGAAAGCCAGAUUCCAUCUCAUCAACUCUUUUCCCAAUGACUCCUUGAGCGAUCAACUCCACAGCCAAUGAUUCAAACGAGCCAUCCAUCUCCAUGUCUUCCAUCUACAGCAUCAUCAGCAUACAUAGUCCCAUAUCAAGAAUAUACAAUACAAUGUUUACAACUUUAAGACCCUCAAAGGUAGCAAUCCUUAUAAUUCAGCUGCAUCAUGAACCUUGCUAUUCCACAUCGCAUACCGAGGUUCUCUAAUUCAUCAUUGAAGAUUGCUUCAUUCCUGGUUGUUCGAAAAUUUAAUAAAAAUCCAUAAUCUUCUAACCUUGAGAAAGUGUGAAAAGAUGCAGCAAAGGAUGUAUUAUUUUUUUCCAAAUGGCCAAUUAUUUUUUUUCCCGAGGGAACUAUUGGCCAAUUCGUCGUGAAAUGCUCUAAUAUACUACCCACCAGAGGAUAAUAAAACAAUAAAGUAUUUAAUCACCAAAGAACUGAAAAUAAAACACCCAAUCUAUUAACCACCCAGAGCUAAAAUAUCCCAGAAUUUUGUCAACCGAGACAGUUACUACCCACAAUUCAAAUAGUGAGAAAUUGGACAUUCUGCCACUGCUAAAAGAGGAUUUCACUCAAAUGCCACUCUACGGAUUGGAUUCGUUAAAAAGCCACUUCCAACCGAUGCUAAACCGCCACCAGUGUACUUAAGGCGACAAGGUGAGGCAAGGCGACCCACCCCUACUCAAUUGCCUAGGCAACGCCUUAAGAGUUUAAGGCAAGGGUAAGGCGACGCCUUAAACACAAGCACAAGAGGCAUACUAGAGAUAUAUGAGGCAAAAAAGAGAGGAAGAACAUGAAGGGGCGAGGAAGAGCAGGGAGACAGAUCCAUUGGAGAAGAAGGGAGCAGCAAGAGGGAGACAACCAUCUUCUCUUUCCAAUCUCUGCCCACCCUAUUAUCUAUUCGCUUUCCAUCUUUCACCCUUCCCUCUCCCUAAAUUGGCGCACCCCUAUUCUCUAUUCUCUUUCCAUCUUUCACUCUUCCCUCCCUAAAUUGCUGCACACGCGAUUUCCAUCAUAUCUUCACGCGAUUUCCUUCCCAGCAUGUGUAAUUCCCUACAGCGCAUGCGCCCUUGACCCCCACCUUGCCCGUGUCUACCUGAUUUCACGAGAUAUUAGGAUCCAAGACGUGUAGAAGGGUAGGCAGUGGGGACGCUCUGCUCCCUGAUGGCGCUCAGACGCCUAGGCAACGCUUAAGCGACGCUUUUAAAACCAUGACCGCCGCUUUGCCAUAUUCGCCAUUUCAUAGGAUUUCCACCAUUUUCAGCCAUUGGUCUGACCAAAAUACCCCUUCGGUGAUAGGCGCCAGCAAUGGGCAGCGACCACUACCAAACGUUGGGGCUGCGGCGGGACGCCACCACGGCCGAGGUGAAGGCCACCUUCUGCCGCGGUGCACUCCAUGACCAGCCGGACCGCCACGCCCACUCCCCCGACGCAGCCAUGCGCGCCACUUUCGCCUCGCCUCCGACGCGUACAGGCCUACAGGGUCCACUCCGACGACCACCUCCACGCUGAUUAUGACCUCCGCCUUCGCUCGUCCUCCUCUUCCUCCUACAGCCAUGCCACCACCUCCUCCUCCUCCUCCUCCUCAUCGGCCUCAUAUGGGUAUGGCUACGGCCACAGACGUGGCGGUGGUUCCUAGCGUCGAUCACCUCUGGGUGGAGAGGAUGUUGCCUCGGCCUGAUUCUAUUAGGACUUGUUGCUGAAGUCGGUCACGCGGUGCGGGUUCCUCAUCAAUCUGGGUUUCACCAGGUAAAGCUGCCCAAAUGCGUUGAUGCUUUUCUUGCUUGCUUUGGUUGAUUUGAUAUGCUGCAUAUGAUUGUCCUGCUGAUCCGUCAUAUUGCUAGCUUUUCUUGAGGGAAUCAUUGUGGAAAAAAGAAUUGCAAAGUUCAUGAAUAAUACUCCCUCCGUUUCAGGUUAU
rnacentral:lncRNA from 1 species